AGCUCUUGAUUUUCUAUAAGCCCUAAAGGCACUAGAUCCCAUGUGAUUUUGGAUGCUAAGUGGAGUCAGGUUUGCUUUGUGCUGGGAUGGGAGACCUCCAAGGAAUAUAGGUGCCGGAGGUA
rnacentral:rRNA from 11 species